UAAAGGUGAGGCAACGUGACGAGUUAU
rnacentral:sRNA from 1 species